rnacentral:rRNA from 1 species
GAGCGAUCUUCUUCGGAAGGGAGCGGCGGACGGGUGAGUAACGCGUGGGUAACCUGCCCUGUACACACGGAUAACAUACCGAAAGGUAUGCUAAUACGGGAUAACAUAAGAAAGUCGCAUGGCUUUCUUAUCAAAGCUUUUGCGGUACAGGAUGGACCCGCGUCUGAUUAGCUAGUUGGUAAGGUAACGGCUUACCAAGGCGACGAUCAGUAGCCGACCUGAGAGGGUGAUCGGCCACAUUGGAACUGAGACACGGUCCAAACUCCUACGGGAGGCAGCAGUGGGGAAUAUUGCACAAUGGGCGAAAGCCUGAUGCAGCAACGCCGCGUGAGCGAUGAAGGCCUUCGGGUCGUAAAGCUCUGUCCUCAAGGAAGAUAAUGACGGUACUUGAGGAGGAAGCCCCGGCUAACUACGUGCCAGCAGCCGCGGUAAUACGUAGGGGGCUAGCGUUAUCCGGAAUUACUGGGCGUAAAGGGUGCGUAGGCGGUCUUUCAAGUCAGAAGUGAAAGGCUACGGCUCAACCGUAGUAAGCUUUUGAAACUGUAAGACUUGAGUGCAGGAGAGGAGAGUGGAAUUCCUAGUGUAGCGGUGAAAUGCGUAGAUAUUAGGAGGAACACCAGUUGCGAAGGCGGCUCUCUGGACUGUAACUGACGCUGAGGCACG